GUCUAUGGCCUUAUCGCCCUGAAUGAGCCCAAUCUCAUCUAAUCUUGGAAGUUAAGCAGGGUCAGCCCUGGUUAGUACCUGAAUGGGAGAAAUAAAUUCAGCCAGGCAUGCCAGCUACUCAGGAGA
rnacentral:rRNA from 1 species